rnacentral:rRNA from 1 species
UACGUAGGGGGGCUAGCGUUGUCCGGAUUUACUGGGCGUAAAGAGCUCGUAGGCGGUUGAGUAAGUCGGGUGUGAAAACUCUGGGCUUAACCCAGAGCCGCCACCCGAUACUGCUCUGACUUGAGUUCGGUAGGGGAGCAGGGAAUUCCUAGUGUAGCGGUGAAAUGCGCAGAUAUUAGGAGGAACACCGGUGGCGAAGGCGCUGCUCUGGGCCGAUACUGACGCUGAGGAGCGAAAAGCGUGGGUAGCAAACAGG